AUGGUUCCAUUCGUCGGCAGCGGCGAGGGCGCAGAUGGAGGAGUUGAGCUGGAGAAGCUGCAAGACCCUCUUGUAGAAUGCUGGCUCAGCAUCAAGGUGAGAAGCGGCUGCGGCGGCGGCCUCGUGCGUGUGGGGGACGAAAGGAUUGCGUGCGUGAUGCCUUUGGUAAUAUGCCAAUAUACCCUGGUAGGAUUCUUUGCUCGCAACAAAAUGCACUGCUGGAAGAUGUCUAUCCUGAAAUUCUUCAGUUGCAAGGACUUCUUAUUCAAGAUGCCUCUACUGAAGACAAGCCUCAGAGUAUCCAAGAUGCAUCUGGCACUAGGCGGAAUCUGUUCGAAGCUUGCUAAAGCAUUGUUGGCUUUGGAGGAGAACCAGAUGUGGGAUGUUAUUGAAGGUGUGUGGGUGGAGAUGCUCUGCUUCUCAGCCAGUAGGUGCCGAGGGUACCUACACGCCAAGAGUCUAGGCUCUGGCCUGGAGCUUCUCACAUGUAUCUGGCUCCUGCUGUCAUACAUGGGGAUGGAGACCUUGCCGGAAAGGCUGCAGAGAACCGAGCUUUCAAGUGGAGAAGGAAAUGCCGGCGCCCCUCCAUCGCCUUCCCAGGCAUCCAGGAGUGAAGAUCCACGGCCUCAUCAAGCUGCUGCUGCUGGUCGCGCGUCUACCAGCUGA
rnacentral:rRNA from 1 species